CAGCAGUAGGGAAUCUUCCGCAAUGGGCGAAAGCCUGACGGAGCAACGCCGCGUGAAUGAAGACGGUCUUCGGAUUGUAAAGUUCUGUCAUUUGGGACGAGCGACCUUGAGAGGAAAUGCUCGAGGUGAGACGGUACCAAAGGAGGAAGCCCCGGCUAACUACGUGCCAGCAGCCGCGGUAAUACGUAGGGGGCAAGCGUUGUCCGGAAUGACUGGGCGUAAAGCGCGCGCAGGCGGUCUUUCGCGUCUGGGGUGAAAGGUCAGGGCUCAACCCUGACAUGGCCUUGGAAACGGGGAGACUUGAGGGUCGGAGAGGUCAGGGGAAUUCCACGUGUAGCGGUGAAAUGCGUAGAUAUGUGGAGGAAUACCAGUGGCGAAGGCGCCUGACUGGACGAAACCUGACGCUGAGGCGCGAAGGCGUGGGGAGCAAACAGGAUUAGAUACCCUGGUAGUCCACGCGGUAAACGAUGAGUGCUAGGUGUCGGAGGGUACCACCUCCGGUGCCGAAGGAAACCCACUAAG
rnacentral:rRNA from 1 species